GUGUCAGCAGCCGCGGUAAUACGGAGGGUGCAAGCGUUAAUCGGAAUUACUGGGCGUAAAGGGCGCGUAGGCGGCGUGUCACGCCGGGUGUGAAAGCCCCGGGCUCAACCUGGGAAUGGCAUCCGGAACGGGCAGGCUAGAGUGCAGGAGAGGAAGGUAGAAUUCCCGGUGUAGCGGUGAAAUGCGUAGAGAUCGGGAGGAAUACCAGUGGCGAAGGCGGCCUUCUGGACUGACACUGACGCUGAGGUGCGAAAGCGUGGGUAGCAAACAGG
rnacentral:rRNA from 1 species